GAUGAAGAACGCAGCGAAAUGCGAUACGUAAUGUGAAUUGCAAAUUCAGUGAAUCAUCGAGUCUUUGAACGCACAUUGCGCCCCCUGGUAUUCCGGGGGGCAUGCCUGUCCGAGCGUCAUUGCUGCCCUCAAGCACGGCUUGUGUGUUGGGCCCCGUCCUCCGAUCCCGGGGACGGGCCCGAAAGGCAGCGGCGGCACCGCGUCCGGUCCUCGAGCGUAUGGGGCUUUGUCACCCGCUCUGUAGGCCCGGCCGGCGCUUGCCGAUCAACCCAAAUUUUUUAUCCAGGUUGACCUCGGAUCAGGUAGGGAUACCCACUGAACUUAAGCAUAUCAAUAAGCGGAGGA
rnacentral:misc_RNA from 1 species